rnacentral:rRNA from 1 species
AAUACAGAGGGUGCGAGCGUUGUUCGGAAUUACUGGGCGUAAAGCGCGCGCAGGCGGCUUCUUAAGUCCAUCGGUCAAAUGCCGGGGCUCAACCCCGUGCCCGCCGAGGAUACUGGGAGGCUGGAGACGAGUAGAGGCAAGCGGAAUUCCGGGUGUAGCGGUGGAAUGCGUAGAGAUCCGGAAGAACACCGGAGGCGAAGGCGGCUUGCUGGGCUUGGUCUGACGCUGAGGCGCGAAAGCGUGGGGAGCGAACAGGA